GCUGCUGGGGUGGGGAGCGGCCCCCCCUGGCCCCCUGCGAGCGACUGGGCCGUCGUUGCGGUUAGGGCUGCGAAUGCUGCGGAAGGAAGUCGGCCCAAACGUCAGGAUGGGGGUCUUGAGGUGCUGGAGGGAGAAGUUCGGGCUCCUUGAGCAAGGGCGGAGUUGCCUCCUUCGUUUGGCGUGGGGCUGGUGCGCAGGUCUGAGCCUCCUGUGCGGAGUUUCAGAGGGUUCCGCCGUCGGGCUUCGUGGAAUUGUCCCACAACAGGAGGGGUGUUGUUUGUUUGUUGGUUUUUAAUAUAGUAGCUGCAAAACCCACGUAUUGUGCCCCAAAAAUCCCAGACGCCCCAACCGUCGCAUGCUUUUUUAACGUGAGUCGUGGGAUUGCUUUUAACAUCCAUUGAUGUUUUCCCUUUUUUCCUUAGGCAGCGAAAUGGCCAAAUAAAAGGACCUUGAUUCGUGUAAAAAAAAAAAUAAACCCACAAACUUAUUUUGUCCUUUCAAUGUCUUUAUUCCCCGCUUGUGAUUCUCGUGUCAUUGAGCCCUAGUCCUUCUGGAAGAAUGAGCAGUGCAGUAAAGAAAUACAGCCAGGGUUCUGGGUUCUUAUCUGCAAGCAGACACGAGGAGAUAGUUGUAUUCAUAUGGGAAGCUGUUCAUUCAGUGUUGAAUUACCUUGUCUAAUGAUGGCCUGAGUCACAGAUUAGAUUACUGAAUAAUAAAAUUUUAAAAUUUUUUACAAGCCAUUAGUAACCCUUCAUUAUUUGGUGUAAAAAAACAAGCUUAACUCCAGACCUUCCAUAUCUUAAUUUUUUUUUAUGAUCUGAAACAAAAGAUUAUUAAUGAGUGGUCUUUAUUGGAUUGCUACAUUUAUUUGAUCUAUCCAGUGCACAGUCAGAAACAUGGCUGGAAGUUACUGAGUAUUGUAUAUAUAUGACAAAACAAAUCGUAAUGUGCUUCUUUGGUUGAGUUGGUAGGUUUUGAUACGUGCUAGGUGGUUAAAGAAGUUAUCUAAACCAAUUAACAUCAGUGUUUAUACUUACAGGACUGAAAUGUUGAGAUUAUGAAUUUUCAUUAAAAAUCCUUUGGGCUCAAGUUUAUUAGUGUGUAUAUGCAGUUACUGCUACUUGGCUUGUAGUACAGGUUUUCAAGUAGGUGUAACUCAUAACUCCUUGCUAAUGAAACUUGGCUGUAUUGGCUGCUUCCUCAAAGGCCUGCCAACUUAAGACAUAUAUUGCUUCUGAGACUUCAGAGAUUGCUGAUUGUUACUGAUGAUUAUUGUCUCAAUAUGUGUAACGUAGUGGCCUGGUAAUAAGAAUCUACUGAUUUCAAGUGUUAAGUUUGUUUACUGUUUGUUUUUAGGUAUGGUGGAGCAGAAGUUUUCAGUGGUGUCUAAUAUGUUGUACAGAAGCAUUAAGCCCUUCAUGGAAGCAUCCUCAGAAGUAGAAGAAUACUUGGUACAUACAAGUGGAUUUUCCUGAAAGCUAUUUUCUAGAAUACCAUGAAGAGUUUCUAAUAAUGGAAUCGGGCAUCCUGAUCAGAAACUGCCUGGCAACUGUAGUACAACAGAGAGAGGGGUGAUUGAAGGCUGCUUCUCAGUUAAAGGUAUGAAGGCAAAUAAAUCAUAGAAUCAUGGAAUUUUUUAGGCUGAAGGGACCUUAAAUAAAGAUCACCCAGUUCUAACCUCCCUGCUUGGGCAGGGACGCCUCCCACUAGAACAGGUUCCUCAAAGCCCCAUCCAAGCUGUCCUUGAAUAAUUUAAAAGCUUGAUGUGGGAGUAAUGCUUAAACAUUAGUAUGUCUGAUCAGUGAAGAACUUAUCCCAAAUCAGAUUGAUAGCUUGAUGAAAAAUGUGUGACUCUGACUCCUGAGUUCAGGCUGCUCUAACAUCAGGUGGGGUUUGUGUAUCAGCAUUAUGGAAAACAGGGUGAAACAUUUAAUCUAUCUUGGCUGCUUCUUUAAACUUCUAGUUCAAGAGGCAGUUGUUUUCACGUUGCUUGACAGACAAUUGUACAUAGAAGAAUGUGAUCUGGAUUAAGUUUUUUUGUUGCUUGCCUGUUAGUGGAUUUUAUCUUGAGUUUUUAAUGUUUUGAUACAAGCUGAGAACCAGAUUUUAGCUAAUUCUCACAAAUUAACUUGAUUCCAAUAGUAGAGGGGGAGUUAUGUUUGGUUAGUUGCCUAUCAUAGUUUAUAGCCAAGUUGAGAUACCUGGGGAAGAGAAGCAAAAUUAAUCUACAGUGGUAUGACUGCACUGUUAAGUUACCUUUCAGAGUACUAAUCCAACACAUGUUUAGUAAUGGAGCUUGCUCUGUAUGAGAGACUAGAUGACAAGUUGUAUUUUGAGUGAUGGAUGAAUGGAUGGAUUUUUCUGAACUAAUAAAUGUCUCUUUCUUGGACAGGAAUAUGGUCAGAAAUGUAGGAACAAAUGCUUUUAGCUUAUUCAGGCAUGUAAUUGAAAAGCUUCUAGACAUGUUUUUGUUUUGCUUACAGUUUGGGAAUUUUCUGUAUGGUGGCAGUUGUUGAUAUACUUAAUACAGUAAUUAACCAGUUGAUAUGGUAAGUUGGUAUAGUAUUUAAUUUGUACAUAGUUGGAAUUUAAGAACACUUCAUAGCUACAUGAAAAGUCUUAAAUAAGUAUGUUUUUUAAACAUGGCAAAGGACUACAGAAUGUUCAGGGGUUUUUUGCAAUCAAACGCUAUAGAAAAACAAUACAUCUCUAUUAAAUCUAGUUUUCUUCAUUGCAUUUGUCUCAUCUGUGAUGAUCCUAUCCCGAACCUGAAUUCUUUGUUGAAAAACUUAAUACGGAUCCGGAAUCUGAGAUGAGACCAAAAGAUUUCAUAAAAGUUUCUGAAAAGUAUAAUGUCUAUUGGGUGUUAGGGUUUUUACAGAAAUGGUAACACUAUAAUGUAUACAAAGAGUUGGGUGCUUAGUUGCAAAUUGAAAUUUAUUUCUCAAAUUAACUGAGACCAUGUUUUCUUUUUCUAGUGAUGGCUUGGAACACUGUCAAGAGCUGCCUGACAAAUGCAGAUGAUCUGUAACUGGAAGGAAAUGUGAUGCCUGAAGAGUUUUUGUGGCUUGGAGUGGGAUGCCAUGCUUUUUUAAAGCCUGCUGCAGCAGCUGCUGCAAUCUUGCUGAGCUAAUACUGUUUUCAGAAAUUGCAUGUGAACCAAAAUCACUGUCUCUGCAUGUUUAAAAUAGCACUGUCCUCAAAACAUUGAACUGCCCUCUGUAGGAAGGACAGCAGAAAUAUUAGGGAAACAAAUGUCAUGUUUCAGUACAUGGAAGAACCUGUGAGAGUAUUUGCCCUUUUAAAAUAUCAUCAGGGUAUUCAGACUUGCUGACACAGAAGAUCUGUAAUAACUCAAAACACGGGAACUUGCAGAUAGGCCCUGUAAAGACAAAGGUAGGUACCCAGUUCAAACCAAGUAGUGUGCUUAUCUGAGAUAGCAUCACCCAGGAGGCAGGAGGAAGUAGAUGAGGUGAUGUUGGUGUGGAAGCAUAAACAUGAAACACUUGGAAAAAAGAAAUUCAAGUGUAAAGAGGAGAAAGUUGUUACACAAAAGGCAAGGUCUAAAGCUUGUGUCUGUUUCUAGUGAGGGAGAGAGGAACUGGGGUUUUAUGGUUCACUUCAGCACGAAAAGGCCAGUGUUGCAACAGUGGAACUGCCCUUUUAGGAAUACACUGGCAAAGUUGCCUGCUUGCUGUGUGGGGAAAAGUGAUCAGUAGUGGAAGAAGGGAAUACACACAGUGGAACUUGUGCUUUGAGCAGUCUCUUUAAAAACUAACAAUGCCGUAUCACUGUAACAGCAUAUUUGCUGUAAUCAGCAAACUGGCACUCUUCCACAGAGGAAUGAGGGAUCUUAAAGUAGUUGCCAAGUAAAUUGGAUUUCAGUGAUAAAUCAUUAUGUACAUGAAGAUGCAAUCUGUCUUAAAGCAUGACUCUCAAACCUAAUUGUCAGAAAUGCUUUAGGAAGGGAGAAACACAGGCACAGGAAUGGCAUAAUACCUUAAAAAGUAAUAGAGCAACAGUUAAUGAAUCAUGUCAAAAUGCACCAAAAUACAGAAAAGCUACCUUGUAGUCUUCAGCAAAAAUGACACCAUUGCAAUGUCAGCAGCUCUCAAGAGUUGGAGGAAUUCCUAUAGUUCAUGGAAUAUGUCUAUUUCUAAAUGACUAAUUCCAUGAAAAGCCUGGUUUUCUGUAAGCAGUAUGAAGUGCAAAGCAGUGCAAAUAGCAUUGGGACUGUCAAAAAUAAGUAUCAUCUGACUGUUAAAAUACACUUUUAAGGAUCUGACCAAAUUUCAGGAGUGCGUGGACAAGAAAUUGAUGGUUAGGCAAACUUUUGGAACAUUGCCAUGUAUCAGUAACUGAGCAAAAAAAAGCAGCCAUUUUUGAGUGAAAUGAGUGGUGCUUAUAAGCAAGAGAAGUACCUCCUAACCACAGCAAAGGGCAGCUCUGCAAAAAUGCUACCACGAAAGUCACGAGGUCCUCAUUAAGAUGAGAGGUUUUGUCUGCUGAAGAACUUGUCUUGCCAGUGGAGAUGAGCUAUCAACAGUUGCAAGGGAGCGAAACUAAGCUAGCAGUGGUUGUCUUGCCACAGCACCCCCACUGCUCUGUGAGAGCAUUUGCUGGUGUGAAGCCUGCUUGAAGGAACAGAUUCCAGCGAGCAGAAAUUUCAGCAUAAGCUGUGUGGUCAGGCUACUGGUCAGCAGAGAAGUAUGCAGCCUUGGCUGCAGCUGCAUUGUGUGCCAGCUUCAGUGGGGUUCCUGCCUCCUCAUGCAGGCAAGCCCUUAACUGAACAAAUGUUCUAUAAAGCUUGGGUUUGCAUUUUUACCAAUUAAAAAUGGGCAAUGAAAUUAAAGAACAGUUAGUAGAGAAAGAGAGACUCCUUAAGACAGUCGAGCAUGGACACAGCAGAGAGAGCAGUGUUAGACUUUGCCCAAGGAAAGAUACUCUUAUAUUGGGGACUAUUUAACCCUGUCUUUGGGUCAACAGUUUUUCUGCACACCCUCUCCCACUGUUCUGAGGACAGAUUUUUAGUUAAGUUGGUAUUAAUUCAAUAGAUCAAUGUUAAUUUCAGGUGAGUGGAGUACAGGUGGAGGCCUUCAUUUGCUGUGUAAAUGUGUGUCUAAUAAUUUAUAUUCUCUGUACUUUUUGUUAGUAGAACCAGUAUUGGAAGCAUUUUCUCUUGUCUGCCCUUGCCUGUUUCUCUUGGAGGAUAUAAACUGAAAAAGUAAAAUUAAAAUUAUUAAUUCAAUUUUUCUUUUAGCAUCGUGGCUUUUUAGUUGAUAGUCCAGUUGAGCUAUCAGGGCUAUGAAGACAGUACUUCUCUGCCAUUGUCUCAAACUUCCUGCAGGCUCCAGAGGACAAAGUGGUGUUUGAUGCUCAGAAGAAUGGCUGUAUUGAGUGGCACAAAGUCUGCCUUGCUCAGUAUUCUGUCUGAGGAUGACCAGUAUAAGGAACAGGAGAAGUAUAGAGAGCUUGUCCAGCAGUUUGCUUGGGAAUUUCCUGAGGGGAUUUUCAUUUUUAUUUUAGUACUACUUGGCAAUUACAACUUCUGUUUAAAAAGAUGAGAAACAUGAAUGUUAUGUAGGCUGUAAAAUAUAUAAAGUAGUAUGCAUUUUAGUAACUGCAGGGAGGGGGGGCUAAGAAGGGGCUUGAAGUAAAAGGUUUUUUCCUCUUUAAAGCAAAUGUUGCAUUUGACUCUCACAUUGAUCAAAACACUGAUAAGUGGAGUCCAGUUAAGGCCACACUAGUAGGUCAGCUUUACUGUUCAACUGAGCUAUGUUGUAGGUGAAAGUUUGAAGUACUGAUCUGUACUUAGACUUCAGGCUUCUUACCAGACCAAUAACCACUACUUUUUUCUCCUGUGAUACGUUCUCAGUACCUGAAGGAACACUGUCCCAGCAAAGACAGUCCUAGUUUCAUGGUGGGAGGUGAAGCAUGAUUAAAAUCUGUCCUAAGAUAAAGUUCAGUCAUUUAUAUAUGUGGAAAGAAGCUAGGAAGAGAUGGACUGAAAAAAAAGUGCUUAGACCUUAUUAUGAAACUGAUAAGGUGAUUGAAAAGUAAUGUCUGCCUUUUUGAAUGGUCUUAAGAUCAGUGAAGAGGAGGAAUAUACAGCUACCAUUAAAUCUGUGUACUUCAUGUCACGUUGGCAAAAGAGGAAAUAACUUAGUAGUUUGUUUUUUUGAGUCAGGGAGUCUGCAGAUACCAUGGAGUUCUGAAAGAAACAUCUGAAGCUUAUACUGUGUGUCAGCUCUGUCUAAUAGUUAUGUCAUUUUCUGCAGCAGAAAAUAAAGCUAAUUGCUUCAC